rnacentral:tRNA from 3 species
UGGGGGAUAGUUUAACGGUAGAACUACCGACUCUGACUCGGUCAGUCCUGGUUCGAAUCCAGGUCCCCCAGCCA